rnacentral:rRNA from 1 species
AGCGAACGCUGGCGGCAGGCUUAACACAUGCAAGUCGAGCGGGCAUCUUCGGAUGUCAGCGGCAGACGGGUGAGUAACACGUGGGAACGUACCCUUCGGUUCGGAACAACUCUGGGAAACUGGAGCUAAUACCGGAUACGCCCUUAUGGGGAAAGGUUUACUGCCGAAGGAUCGGCCCGCGUCUGAUUAGCUAGUUGGUGGGGUAACGGCCUACCAAGGCGACGAUCAGUAGCUGGUCUGAGAGGAUGAUCAGCCACACUGGGACUGAGACACGGCCCAGACUCCUACGGGAGGCAGCAGUGGGGAAUAUUGGACAAUGGGCGCAAGCCUGAUCCAGCCAUGCCGCGUGAGUGAUGAAGGCCUUAGGGUUGUAAAGCUCUUUUGUCCGGGACGAUAAUGACGGGACCGGAAGAAUAAACCCCGGCUAACUUCGU